rnacentral:rRNA from 1 species
CUAUAACGGUCCUAAGGUAGCGAAAUUCCUUGUCGGGUAAGUUCCGACCCGCACGAAAGGCGUAACGAUUUGGGCACUGUCUCAACGAGAGACUCGGUGAAAUCAUAGUACCUGUGAAGAUGCAGGUUACCCGCGACAGGACGGAAAGACCCCGUGGAGCUUUACUGUAGCCUGAUAUUGAAAUUCGGCACAGCUUGUACAGGAUAGGUAGGAGCCUUUGAAACGUGAGCGCUAGCUUACGUGGAGGCGCUGGUGGGAUACUACCCUAGCUGUGUUGGCUUUCUAACCCGCACCACUUAUCGUGGUGGGAGACAGUGUCAGGCGGGCAGUUUGACUGGGGCGGUCGCCUCCUAAAAGGUAACGGAGGCGCUCAAAGGUUCCCUCAGAAUGGUUGGAAAUCAUUCAUAG